AACGAACGCUGGCGGCAUGCCUAACACAUGCAAGUCGAACGAAGUCUUCGGACUUAGUGGCGCACGGGUGCGUAACGCGUGGGAAUCUGCCCUUGGGUACGGAAUAACUCAGAGAAAUUUGUGCUAAUACCGUAUAAUGUCGUAAGACCAAAGAUUUAUCGCCCAAGGAUGAGCCCGCGUAAGAUUAGCUAGUUGGUAGGGUAAAAGCCUACCAAGGCGACGAUCUUUAGCUGGUCUGAGAGGAUGAUCAGCCACACUGGGACUGAGACACGGCCCAGACUCCUACGGGAGGCAGCAGUGGGGAAUAUUGGACAAUGGGCGAAAGCCUGAUCCAGCAAUGCCGCGUGAGUGAUGAA
rnacentral:rRNA from 1 species